CAGCACUGUGGGGAAUUUGUGACCUUCCUUGUGCUCAGGCAUUGCUUUCCUCAGUCACUCACUCUGCCAGAAACUCCCCAACACAAUGAAAGAGAAGAAGCUGUCAACAGCACAGCUCACUGUGGUUUUAUCAGAAAUCAGCCAGCAAUAGCACUUGCAGUACAUUCAGGAGAACUUCCAGUGAUCACAACAAAAAUCAGGAGAUCAAUGGGCAGCCCUAGAGAUUCCCCUGAAGGAGCAAUGGGUGUGCAAAGCCAGCCUGGAAAAGCUGAGCCUCCUCAAACCAUGGGGUUUGAAUGAAACAAAACCAAUCCCUGUCCUGACCUCAGACCUGGCUGAGUUCAAACCCCCUUGAGCCCCCUUCAAAGAGGGCUCUGUGCUGGGGAGGCACUGUUCUGUGGGAAGUGACAAACUGGUCUUGCUGGUGCUUCCCAAGAGAUGUUCAAGGCAAUGU